GCCGGGGUGGAGGCGCACGCCUGUAAUCCCAGCAGCUCGGGAGGCUGAGGCAGGAGGAUUGCGAGUUUGAGGUCAGAUCCUGUCUCAA
rnacentral:sRNA from 1 species